GACGAACCGUGCGAACGUUGUUCGGAAUCACUGGGCUUAAAGGGCGCGUAGGCGGGCUGCCAAGUCUGGGGUGAAAUCCCACGGGCUCAACCCGUGGAACUGCCUCGGAAUACUGGCGGCCUCGAGGGAGGUAGGGGCGUGCGGAACUGUGGGUGGAGCGGUGAAAUGCGUUGAUAUCCACAGGAACUCCGGUGGCGAAAGCGG
rnacentral:rRNA from 1 species